AGGACCUGUGUUUUAGUUAAAAGGAUACCUAUAUAUAUAGAUAUAUCUGGGGGAGUGGGCACAAAAGUGGCGUGGAAGCUACUGCCAGGAAGAGAGAGUAAGAGAAAUGGAGAUUAUCUGGGGGAGUGGGCACCACAGUGGCGUGGAAGCCACUGCCAGGAAGAGAGAGCAAGAGAAAUGGAGAUGCAGUGGGGGGUCGUGGGUUCCCGUUCUCCAUGACGGAAAGCCCGCACUUUGAGCCUCCAAACCUGCUCCGAUCUGUAUCAAAUUUUGAGAGGGAGUUCAAUUCGUCGAGAUGAGCAUCACUGCGGAGUCGGAUUCCGAAUCCAAUGGCUGGAUUUUCGGAUUUUGGUAGGUUGAUUUAUUCCCAAAUUUUUUUCGGAUUUUGGUGAGCAUUUAUUGCAAAAAAUCAUCUUCCGGCUAAACACUAAUGCAAUCAAGAACGCUGGACCAACCAUUUGAAGAAUAGGCUUGCGAUUACAAGGUACUUUGAGCAACACCUUCUCUACCAUGGGCGGAACCUUCCCACGGAUGAUGAGACUGGUGAUCACUCUCACUAUCCUUAGGACUUCGUAAGGCAUGUACUUGGGAUUCUCAUUAUCGCUAAUUUCAAAGAUAUGUACUUAGGACUCUCAUUUAUCCUUAAUUUGGCGAUUUCUUUAGCUGAUCAUGCGUUCAAGAAUUGAACUAAUUGCAUUUGGAUCAACGUAGGGGAUCAAAGAAGCAAACUCGGCCAUCAAAGCCUCAAGGUCAUCUCCUCGGAUGGAGUGAUCAUCCAUGAGAAGGUGUCUCUCAAGGUAGAGAAGGUGUCACUUAAAGGUCACUCGUAGUCGCAGGCCUCUUCUUCAAGUGGUUGUUCCAGCGUUCUUGAUAACAUUAGCAGAUCGGUCAGGAAGAUGAUAUUUUGCCAUAGAUGCCCAACUACAACACAACACAGGAAGUCCUACCACAGACUCAUGGUGUGUUUUGUAUUAUGCUGAGGGUUUGUAGGUUGAUUUAUGAGUAUUGUUCAGUCAUAUAUCUAAAUAUUUAACUCUUUUGAAAUGACCUAUAAUCACAUAAUUCAACCUUGGAGUA